rnacentral:misc_RNA from 1 species
GGGCUUUUUCCAUUAAAUCGCAAGUCACCUGUCAUUUCCUUCCAAGCAAAUACAGCAGACAAACCAUCCAUCAAGGGGAGGAGGAGAGAAUUCUUUAGGUAUUUGCUAUAACAAAGAAAAAUCUUUAUCGAACCAAUCAAUUGCUCUUCAGAAUUCGUUGAGGCAUGUGUUAAGAGGUACGCAUAAGGACUUAACUGUCUAUUAUGAAGAAUCGACCAGUGCAACUUAGAAGAAUACAACACACUUAAAAAAAAAUACAAGAAAUGGCGAAGCCUAGAAAGAUGUUGUAAUGAAAUGACGAAUGACAAACCAACAAAAACUAACCAUUUUACAG